rnacentral:tRNA from 1 species
UAUCUCUAUCUUUUAGCAGAAAAAUGCUUUAGAUUUAGAAUCUAAAAUCAUCCUCA